NUGNCCCNUAUUGAACGCUGGCGGCAGGCCUAACACAUGCAAGUCGAGCGGGGUUUUCGGACCUAGCGGCGGACGGGUGAGUAAUGCGUAGGAAGCUGCCCGAUAGAGGGGGAUACCAGUUGGAAACGACUGUUAAUACCGCAUAAUGUCUACGGACCAAAGUGUGGGACCUUCGGGCCACAUGCUAUCGGAUGCGCCUACGUGGGAUUAGCUAGUUGGUGAGGUAAUGGCUCACCAAGGCGACGAUCUCUAGCUGGUUUGAGAGGAUGAUCANCCACACUGGAACUGAGGCACGGUCCAGACUCCUACGGGAGGC
rnacentral:rRNA from 1 species